rnacentral:lncRNA from 1 species
AUCAAGAAGUACAUGGGGAAGCUCUUCAACAGCAGCCCGAAGAAAUCUAAAAACCACAAGAAAACUGCGAACGCCACGGACACCUCCCCAUCGAAAGCCACGAACCCCCAGUGGCUGAACACCUCGGAAUCCCGACCACCGACCUCCUCCCGGGGCCCCAGGUAGGACAACCUGGACGCUCGGCACCGAGCCAGGGGCCUCGGGGCUGGCGGCAGCUUGGGUGGUAGCGAGAGGAAGCUCCUGGGGGCGGGCAUGCGGGGAGACACAGCACCCCUGUGGGGGGCUUCUUUCUCCAGGCUGGGCCUUGGCCUCCAGACGCCUCUCCGCCCACCAACCCCUUUAUAUUGAGAGGGGCCUGGACCCCUCCUCAUCCCCUCAGUGAAAACAAUAAAGACAAAUUUUUGUUGC